rnacentral:rRNA from 1 species
CGCCAGACUCCUACGGGAGGCAGCAGUGGGGAAUAUUGCACAAUGGGGGAAACCCUGAUGCAGCGACGCCGCGUGGGCGAGGAAGUACCUCGGUAUGUAAAGCCCUAUCAGCAGGGAAGAAACAGGACAGUACCUGACUAAGAAGCCCCGGCUAACUACGUGCCAGCAGCCGCGGUAAUACGUAGGGGGCAAGCGUUAUCCGGAUUUACUGGGUGUAAAGGGAGCGUAGACGGCACUGCAAGUCCGGAGUGAAAGCCCAAGGCUUAACCAUGGGACUGCUCUGGAAACUGUGGAGCUUGAGUGCGGGAGGGGCAGGCGGAAUUCCUAGUGUAGCGGUGAAAUGCGUAGAUAUUAGGAGGAACACCGGCGGCGAAGGCGGCCUGCUGGACCGUAACUGACGUUGAGGCUCGAAAGCGUGGGGAGCAAACAGGAUUAGAUACCCUCGUAGA